rnacentral:rRNA from 1 species
UACGGAGGGUGCAAGCGUUAUCCGGAUUUACUGGGUUUAAAGGGUGUGUAGGCGGGGCUUUAAGUCAAUGGUGAAAUCUCCGAGCUCAACUUGGAAACUGCCAUUGAUACUAUUGAUCUUGAAUUUUGUUGAGGUAGGCGGAAUAAGUCAUGUAGCGGUGAAAUGCAUAGAUAUGACUUAGAACACCAAUUGCGAAGGCAGCUUGCUAAACAAAUAUUGACGCUGAGGCACGAAAGCGUGGGGAUCAAACAGG